rnacentral:piRNA from 1 species
UGCCGUGUGUGUGUGGUUGUUUGCGUGA